rnacentral:rRNA from 1 species
GACGAACGCUGGCGGCGUGCUUAACACAUGCAAGUCGAACGGAAAGGCCCUGCUUUUGUGGGGUGCUCGAGUGGCGAACGGGUGAGUAACACGUGAGUAACCUGCCCUUGACUUUGGGAUAACUUCAGGAAACUGGGGCUAAUACCGGAUAGGAGCUCCUGCUGCAUGGUGGGGGUUGGAAAGUUUCGGCGGUUGGGGAUGGACUCGCGGCUUAUCAGCUUGUUGGUGGGGUAGUGGCUUACCAAGGCUUUGACGGGUAGCCGGCCUGAGAGGGUGACCGGCCACAUUGGGACUGAGAUACGGCCCAGACUCCUACGGGAGGCAGCAGUGGGGAAUAUUGCACAAUGGGCGGAAGCCUGAUGCAGCAACGCCGCGUGCGGGAUGACGGCCUUCGGGUUGUAAACCGCUUUCGCCUGUGACGAAGCGUGAGUGACGGUAAUGGGUAAAGAAGCACCGGCUAACUACGUGCCAACAACCGCGGUGAUACGUAGGGUGCGAGCGUUGUCCGGAUUUAUUGGGCGUAAAGGGCUCGUAGGUGGUUGAUCGCGUCGGAAGUGUAAUCUUGGGGCUUAACCCUGAGCGUGCUUUCGAUACGGGUUGACUUGAGGAAGGUAGGGGAGAAUGGAAUUCCUGGUGGAGCGGUGGAAUGCGCAGAUAUCAGGAGGAACACCAGUGGCGAAGGCGGUUCUCUGGGCCUUUCCUGACGCUGAGGAGCGGAAGCGUGGGGAGCGAACAGGCUUAGAUACCCUGGUAGUCCACGCUGUAAACGGUGGGUACUAGGUGUGGGGUCCAUUCCACGGGUUCCGUGCCGUAGCUAACGCUUUAAGUACCCCGCCUGGGGAGUACGGCCGCAAGGCUAAAACUCAAAGGAAUUGACGGGGCCCCGCACAAGCGGCGGAGCAUGCGGAUUAAUUCGAUGCAACGCGUAGAACCUUACCUGGGUUUGACGUGGAUCGGGAGUGCUCAGAGAUGGGUGUGCCUCUUUUGGGGUCGGUUCACAGGUGGUGCAUGGCUGUCGUCAGCUCGUGUCGUGAGAUGUUGGGUUAAGUCCCGCAACGAGCGCAACCCUUGUUCACUGUUGCCAGCACGUUAUGGUGGGUGACUCAGUGGAGACCGCCGGGGUCAACUCGGAGGAAGGUGGGGAUGACGUCAAGCCAUCAUGCCCCUUAUGUCCAGGGCUUCACGCAUGCUACAAUGGCUGGUACAGAGAGUGGCGAGCCUGUGAGGGUGAGCGAAUCUCGGAAAGCCGGUCUCAGUUCGGAUUGGGGUCUGCAACUCGACCUCAUGAAGUCGGAGUCGCUAGUAAUCGCAGAUCAGCAACGCUGCGGUGAAUACGUUCCCGGG